rnacentral:rRNA from 1 species
UACGUAGGGGGCUAGCGUUGUCCGGAUUUAUUGGGCGUAAAGAGCGUGUAGGCGGCCAGGUAGGUCUGCUGUGAAAACUCGAGGCUCAACCUCGAGACGUCGGCGGAAACCAUCUGGCUAGAGUCCGGAAGAGGAGAGUGGAAUUCCCGGUGUAGCGGUGAAAUGCGCAGAUAUCGGGAAGAACACCCGUGGCGAAGGCGGGUCUCUGGACAGUUCCUGACACUGAGGCACGAAGGCCAGGGGAGCAAACGGG